UACGUAGGGGGCGAGCGUUGUCCGGAAUUAUUGGGUGUAAAGGGCGCGUAGGCGGGGAUGCAAGUCAGAUGUGAAAUCUAUGGGCUCAACCCAUAAACUGCAUUUGAAACUGUAUCUCUUGAGUGCUGGAGAGGUAGAUGGAAUUCCUUGUGUAGCGGUGAAAUGCGUAGAUAUAAGGAAGAACACCAGUGGCGAAGGCGAUCUACUGGACAGUAACUGACGCUGAGGCGCGAGAGCGUGGGGAGCAA
rnacentral:rRNA from 1 species